rnacentral:rRNA from 1 species
UACGGAGGGUGCAAGCGUUAUCCGGAUUCACUGGGUUUAAAGGGUGCGUAGGCGGGUUGGUAAGUCCGUGGUGAAAUCCCCAAGCUUAACUUGGGAACUGCCGUGGAUACUAUCAAUCUUGAAUAUCGUGGAGGUAAGCGGAAUAUGUCAUGUAGCGGUGAAAUGCUUAGAUAUGACAUAGAACACCAAUUGCAUAGGCAGCUUACUACACCAUCAUUGACGCUGAGGCACGAAAGCGUGGGGAGCAAACAGG